GGGGUGUUUUCGCGCUAUACAUGCAGUCGAGCGGACAGAAGGGAGCUUGCUCCCGGAUGUUAGCGGCGGACGGGUGACUAACACGUGGGUAACCUGCCUGUAAGACUGGGAUAACUCCGGGAAACCGGAGCUAAUACCGGAUAGUUCCUUGAACCGCAUGGUUCAAGGAUGAAAGACGGUUUCGGCUGUCACUUACAGAUGGACCCGCGGCGCAUUAGCUAGUUGGUGAGGUAACGGCUCACCAAGGCGACGAUGCGUAGCCGACCUGAGAGGGUGAUCGGCCACACUGGGACUGAGACACGGCCCAGACUCCUACGGGAGGCAGCAGUAGGGAAUCUUCCGCAAUGGACGAAAGUCUGACGGAGCAACGCCGCGUGAGUGAUGAAGGUUUUCGGAUCGUAAAGCUCUGUUGUUAGGGAAGAACAAGUGCAAGAGUAACUGCUUGCACCUUGACGGUACCUAACCAGAAAGCCACGGCUAACUACGUGCCAGCAGCCGCGGUAAUACGUAGGUGGCAAGCGUUGUCCGGAAUUAUUGGGCGUAAAGGGCUCGCAGGCGGUUUCUUAAGUCUGAUGUGAAAGCCCCCGGCUCAACCGGGGAGGGUCAUUGGAAACUGGGAAACUUGAGUGCAGAAGAGGAGAGUGGAAUUCCACGUGUAGCGGUGAAAUGCGUAGAGAUGUGGAGGAACACCAGUGGCGAAGGCGACUCUCUGGUCUGUAACUGACGCUGAGGAGCGAAAGCGUGGGGGAGCGAACAGGAUUAGAUACCCUGGUAGUCCACGCCGUAAACGAUGAGUGCUG
rnacentral:rRNA from 1 species